GAUGAACGCUGGCGGCGUGCCUAAUACAUGCAAGUCGAGCGAACAGACGAGGAGCUUGCUCCUCUGACGUUAGCGGCGGACGGGUGAGUAACACGUGGAUAACCUACCUAUAAGACUGGGAUAACUUCGGGAAACCGGAGCUAAUACCGGAUAAUAUAUUGAACCGCAUGGUUCAAUAGUGAAAGACGGUUUUGCUGUCACUUAUAGAUGGAUCCGCGCGUCAUUAGCUAGUUGGUAAGGUAACGGCUUACCAAGGCAACGAUGAUUAGCCGACCUGAGAGGGGGAUCGGCCACACGGGAACUGAGACACGGUCCAGACUCCUACGGGAGGCAGCAGAAGGGAAUCUUCCGCAAGGGGCGAAAGCCUGACGGGGCAACGCGGCGUGAGUGAUGAAGGUCUUCGGAUCGUAAAACUCUGUUAUUAGGGAAGAACAAAUGUGUAAGUAACUAUGCACGUCGUGACGGUACCUAAUCAGAAAGCCACGGCUAACUACGUG
rnacentral:rRNA from 1 species